UUAGAUCCUCUUUAUCGUCAUGAAAAGGCUUAAGCAUCACAUGAAACACUGUUUGGAAUUUGAGUUUUGUCAGCAACUCUAGCUUGUACGCCACUCUAUUUACUAUCUUCACAAUUCAAAAGGGUCCUUCAUACCAUCACACAAGCCUCUUCUGCAAACCAUUAUGUCAUAAAACAAAAGUAGUUUAAUAAGGACUAAAUUACCAACCUAAAAUUGCACAUCCCUUUGAUUCUGAUCCACCUACUUCUUGUUAUGCUUACUGACAUUGUUUAGACAAGCUCUAGCCAAGUCAUUUUUCUCUAGUCAAGCUUUGAGUGACAGCCUGCAGGUUCCCCAAUCUGCCUAUCUUGGAAUACGGAUCAAGGAGUGACAUGUGUGCAAGUCAAUAGGCUAGAAAACCAGUAAGGUGCAAGGAAGCUGAUUGGUGGGAUCCCUCGCGGGAGUAUUGCCGAUCGACCUUGAUCUUUUGAGAAGGGAUAGAGUGAGAGAAUGCCUGUCAGGACAUAAAACAUGGUAAACUAUGCAUAAGCGGGGCGAAGCUAGAGGAAACUCUGGUGGAGGCCUAUAGUGAUAUUGACAUGAAAAUCAUUCGUCUGACUUGGGUAUAGGGGUGAAAGACUAAUCUAACCGUCUAGUAGUUGGUUCCCUGCAAAGUUUGCCUUAGGAUAGUUGGAGCCCUUAAUGAGUUCUAUCGGGUAAAGCCAAUGAUUAGAGGCAUUGGGGGCUUAACACCCUCGAUAUAUUCUUAAACUUUAAAUAGGUAGGAUAGUGCAGCUGCUUCGUUGAGCCAUGCCAUAUAAUCGAGAGCUCCAAGUGGGAUAUUUUUGGCAAGCAGAACUGAUGUUGCGGGAUGAACCGGAAGCAGAGUUAUGGUGCCCAAUUGCGUGCUAACCUAUAACCUACAAAGGGUGUUGGUAAUGAGAGUGUAAAAACUCACCUGCUGAGUCAACUAGCCCCAAAAAUGGAUGGUACUUAAGUGCGUGACCUAUACUCGACCGUCGAGGCAAAGGCUAGGCCCCAUUGAGUAUAAGGGCACAAAAGUCGUUUAAAAACUCAAGGUGAGAGCUUGGACAGAAUGGCCAUCGGUGUAGAUCUUAUUAGUGGUAGCAAAUAUUCAAAUAAGAACUUUGAAGGCUGAAGAGGGGAAAAUCUCCAUGUGGAUGAGACUUGCACAUGGGUUAGUCAAUCCUAAAAGAUGGGAGAAGCUCAUCUGAUAGCGAGUCUAUCGUGAGCUUUGAAAGGGAAUUGGGUUAAAAUUCCUUAACUAGGAUGCGCCUACUGACGUUAACGUUAGGGAGUCUGAAGACAUCAGCGGAGGCAUCGGGAAGAGUUAUCUUUUCUAUUUAAUAGUUUGACAUCCUUGAAAUGGCUCCGCUAGAGUAGGAGGACUGAGUGUUGUCUGUGUUUAGUCGUACUCAUAACUGCAUCAGGUUUCCAAGGUGAAAAGCCUCUGGUCAAUGGAACAAUGUAUGCAAGGGAAGUUGGCAAAAUGGAUCCGUAACCUUGGGAAAAGGAUUGGCUCUAAGGGCUGGGCAUAGGGGUCCUAGUACCGAACACAUCGGUUGCUGGUGUAUUGCUCGAGCUGUUCUCAUGGUGAGAGUAGGUUUCCACGUGCCAGCUAGAGGAUGGACUAGGAAUGACUCCCUUUGAGGCCUUUCUCAGGUAAUAAACAGUCGAUUUAGAACUAAUACGGACAAGGCAAAUCUGAUAGGUUAAUUAAAACAAUGUAUUGUGAUGGUCCCUACGAAUGCUCAGGCAAUAUGAUUUCUGCCCAGUGUUCUGAAUGGAUUAACAAGAUUCCCACUUUUCUUGUUUACUACCCAGUGAAACUAAAGGCAAGGGAACGGGCUUGGCAGAAUCAGUGGGGAAAGAAGACCCUAUUGAGCUUGACCCUAGUCAGACUUUGUGAAAUGACUUGAUAGGUUUAGGAUAAGUGGGAGCUAUUGGGUGAAAUUGAAAUACCACUAGUUUUAACUUUAUUUUAGUUAUUUUGUGAAUCGAAGGUGGGGCCCAACCCUUCUUUUUGGACAUAAGGCCGGCUUCGACCGGUCGAUCUGGGUAGAAGACAUUGUUAUGUAGAGAGUUUAGUUGAGACAACAAAUAUUCUAAAAUAUAACGUAGGUGUCCAGUGAUGAGCUCAAUGAGAACAAAAAUAUCGUGUGGAAUAAAAGGGUAAAAGCUCAUUUGAUUUUGAUUUUCAGUAUUAAUACGAACCUUCAACGCAUGGCUUAUUGAUACUUUAGACAUUCAGAAUUUGAAGGUAGAGGUGUCAGAAAAGUGACCACAGGUAUAACUGGCUUGUCCCAGCCAAUCGUUCAUAGCGACGUUGCUUUUUGAUCAUUCGAUGUCAACUCUUCCUAUCAUUGUGAAGCAGAAUUCACCAAGUGUUGGAUUGUUCACCCACUAAUAGGGAAUGUGAGCUGGGUUUAGAUCAUCAUGAGACAGGUUAGAUUUACCCUACUGAUGAUCGCGUCGCGUUGCAUCGCAAUAGUAAUUCAACCUAGUAUGAGAGGAACUGUUGAUUUGCACAAUUAGUCAUUGCGCUUGGUUGAAAAGCCAGUGGCACGAAGCUACCCUGUAUUGAAUUAUCAUUGAACGCCUCUAAGUUAAAAUCUAGGCUAGAAGCGACGCACGCACUCAUCGCCAUAUUGCUGACCCGCAAUAGGGCCUUCGGUCCCCAAAGGCACCUGUUGUAGGUGCAUGACUAUAGAGCUAUAGUUGCAGACGCCUUUGUAACAGGCCAAUUUUGGGGCUAGUUAGAAAAGUGGUUUCAAAACCAGUAACCCAAGGUCGAAGAAAUUAUU
rnacentral:rRNA from 1 species